GGGCGAAAGCCUGAUCCAGCAAUGCCGCGUGAGUGAUGAAGGCCUUAGGGUCGUAAAGCUCUUUUACCCGGGAUGAUAAUGACAGUACCGGGAGAAUAAGCCCCGGCUAACUCCGUGCCAGCAGCCGCGGUAAUACGGAGGGGGCUAGCGUUGUUCGGAAUUACUGGGCGUAAAGCGCACGUAGGCGGCUUUGUAAGUUAGAGGUGAAAGCCCGGGGCUCAACUCCGGAAUUGCCUUUAAGACUGCAUCGCUAGAAUUGUGGAGAGGUAAGUGGAAUUCCGAGUGUAGAGGUGAAAUUCGUAGAUAUCGGGAGGAACACCUGUGGCGAAGGCGGCCCCCUGGUUGGAUACUGACGCUGAUACGCGAAAGCGUGGGGAGCAAACAGGAUUAGAUACCCUGGUAGUCCACGCUGUAAACGAUGGGCACUAGGUGUCCGGGGUAUUGACCCCCUGGGUGCCGCAGCUAACGCAUUAAGUGCCCCGCCUGGGGAGUACGGUCGCAAGAUUA
rnacentral:rRNA from 1 species